GACGAACGCUGGCGGCGUGCCUAAUACAUGCAAGUAGAACGCUGAAGAGAGGAGCUUGCUCUUCUUGGAUGAGUUGCGAACGGGUGAGUAACGCGUAGGUAACCUGCCUUGUAGCGGGGGAUAACUAUUGGAAACGAUAGCUAAUACCGCAUAACAAUGGAUGACACAUGUCAUUUAUGUGAAAGGGGCAGUUGCUCCACUACAAGAUGGACCUGCGUUGUAUUAGCUAGUAGGUGAGGUAAUGGCUCACCUAGGCGACGAUACAUAGCCGACCUGAGAGGGUGGGCGGCCACACUGGGACUGUGACACGGCCCAGACUCCUACGGGAGGCAGCAGUAGGGAAUCUUCGGCAAUGGGGGCAACCCUGACCGAGCAACGCCGCGUGAGUGAAGAAGGGUUUCGGAUCGUAAAGCUCGGUUGUAAGUCAAGAACGGGUGUUAGAGUGGAAAGUUCACACUGUGACGGUAGCUUACCAGAAAGGGACGGCUAACUACGUG
rnacentral:rRNA from 1 species